GAUAUAUAUUUAACUCAUUAAAAGUCUUUGUCUAAUAAACCAAUAUUUGAGCUUCAUCAAGCACAGCUUCUAGUGAAUGUAUUUUUACAAAAAUACAUUCUUUGCCCUUCUUUUCUCUUUCUUUGUAUGUCUCAUUAAUUUUGCAGAAAACCAGAUAUUUUAAAUUGCAUAAUAUGAAAAAUAUCGAUAUUGGAAUUCCUCACAUUCUGUAUUUUUUGUUGUUGCUGUGUUGCAACACAGUGUGUGUCAGUAUCUGACUUCAAGGUUUCAUUGAUUAACAGCUCUACCUUAGUAUUCACAUACUGCUUUGUAGAGUCUCAUCAUCAGCCAGAGGUGAGCAAGCACAUUGCCAGGCACAUGUGCACAGCCUUCUAGAUCUCUGGAUGUAUGUCUUCCUAAGAACAUUUUAUUUCCCAUAUUCCUUAGAGAUAUAGAACUUUAAGACCUAAAGUUUUUGAUUAGUUCCUGUUUGUUGUUCCAACAGGUAUUGCUACCAUAAUUGGCUGUGAUAAACUGUUAUCACUGAUUUAUCACUGGUUGUUUUUGACAAAUGUCUUGGGUAUACAGCUUAUGCCACUGAGUGAAUGCUGAGUUACAUAAACAAGGACAAGCUCUGUAAAUGAGAAUUCUCUAGGGAGCUGCCAGACAUGCCAAACAGUAAAAAUCUAGUGCCCCCUCCAGUAGCUGCAAGAUUGUUGAAUUUUACAGGUACUGUUGUUGCAAGACAUGAAUUUCAAGGACAAUGUGGAGCUGUGGCAAAGGGAAUGGAAGUAGAGAAAAUUAAAAUGCCACAAAACUGACUGUCAUUAUGAAGAGUAAGCUAUUUUUCUUCAAAAAAUCCUCAUUGCAAUGUUAUAAGCCUUUGGCUAAUUUCUAGAGUUUUAAAAAAGGUGAUUUUAACCAUAUGUUUGUAAGUGUUCUGUGUGCUUAUGGUGGAGUUGACUUAUUUUGUUAUUCCAUAACUCUUGUGUGAUGGUCUUUUAACUGGAAUUCCAACUUACUACUCUUUUCCUCUCACAAUCCAUGCUUUAUAGAGAAGCCUAAGAGAGCUAAUAAAAGUGUAAAUCAGGUCAGAUCACUACUCUGACAAAAAAUUUUUGAAUUGGUAUUUCUUAAUAUUUAGAAUAAAGUUUAAGUUUCUGAUUAUGGUCUACAAACCAUUUUGGCUUAAGAGACUUUAUGUAAGUGAGGUUCAAAAGCAGCAAAAAGUAGUGAAGAGAGCAUGGAGAAUUACUUUGAACCUGAUAUUUAUACCAAGCACAUUGCAUUUUAGGGGGAGGUGGAGUUUUGUUUUUGUUUGCUUCUGACUAUUGCAGUGAUACAAGUCUCUUAUCUGUUGUGUUCUCUUGGCUCCUAACUGGACGCUUAUUGCAUUGUCUUCUUCCCCUUAGAAACUACAACUUUCUGAUUUCUGAAAACCUGUUCUUCCCUAUUACUAUUCUCCUCUCAUUGUUAGGUAUCUUUUUACUUUCCAUCUGAAUUUUAAUCUAUUGUUGUAGACAAGGAGCUGUGCAACUCCAACCCCUCUUCAAGGAGGGAAUUAUUGCACAACACUGAAGAUGGUAGCCAUCCAAGGAAUUUCUACAUUCAGUUCCUUUGGGCCAGGCUCAGUUGCAGGGAAGAAAUAUCACUGAGGAUGUGCAUUCACAACCCAUGACAUUUACCCUGAAUUAUAUAUUAAUUUACCCUGACUGUAUAAUUGAGAUUUAGAUACUUCUAAGUGGGCACUGUUGCAUUUUUGGUCCUUGGUGUGCAAGUCCAUGGCCUAAUGAAAGCCUCUGAAUAUGCCCUCUCUGCCUUCAGCCAAGGUGAUAUAUUUACAAAAAUAGUGCAUAAUGAAAAACUGGGCAUAGAUGGAGAGUAUAGAGAUAGUAUUAAGAUUCUAAAAGAUGAAAGGAUUCUUUCAUCAUAUCUGCUAUGAAUUUACCAGUCGGGGCCACUGCAGAAACUAGAUGUAUCCUGUAGAAUGACUGUGAACUACCUCAAGCUCAAGUAAAUAGUAGCUUUAGUUACGACUACCAUGACAAAGACAGUAUCUUUGCUAGAACGAUUAAUAUGGCCUCAGGUAUAUAGUUAUUCUCCAGGACUAUGUUAACUCUCUUAUCACAAUGUAGUCUAAAGAGAUACAAUUUUUUUAAUGUCCUGAAGAACAUUACAUUGAUUAAUUGCCACCAAUAAUAGGUAGAUCUGGCUGGAUGAGCAAGAUCUGGCUAGCCUUGCUGCAGGCUCAGUAAGACAAAUUUGACCUAGUGAGUAGGAAAUAAAUCCUAAACAGAUUUUAGGGCUAACCACUUGAGGAAAAAUUUAGAGGUUUAGUGGCCAGGGCUUGCCAGUUAAUCCUUGUCCAAAGUAAAAGAUAAACUAUUUCAUAUUUCUUCUUCUACCAUGACUAAGAAAGCACAGUGCAUCGUGGGCUACUUUGUGCUCUGGAGACAGCAUGCUUAACAGUUAGGGAUACCACUUUGCCUGUAUGCUUCUUUGAGUAUGGAUGGAGCAGGAAAGAGCUCUGAGCAGACUGAGGCUGUGAUACAAGCCAUACUUCUUUUUGUACAAUGCAAUCUGUUGGAACCUACAUGUUAGAGGUAUCAGUGUUAAGAAAUGGGACCAUGUUGAUUUUGUAUGAAACACAGUAGAGGUCCCUGGGAUUCUGGAGAAAUGCCAUAAAACCAGGGAAUGUUAUGCCUUUUAAAAAAUAACUCUUGGCUAGCUACCAGUCCUGACCAUGGGACUGCAAGUGACCAUGUGGGUAGAGCUAUCAUGAGCUAGGUCUUGUAAGUGUUACUAAGUCAUAAAGUCAGAUAAUACCAACAGUAACCUCAUUAUAAUAUAGAUGUGUGGUAUCCAGGAUUGAGCACAAACAGGUUCUGAGGACAAAAGAAAUUUGCACAAACAGGUAGUUCAGGUCUAUGGCUCCCACUAGUAGUAGUACAAGAAUUUCUCUUAGCUCAUUUCUGUGGCUGUAUGAUAUACUGUAGGACCAAAAGAAAAAAAGUGAAACAUUUCUGAGUUUGGCUUCCAGAUGCGUUAGCUUGGUAUGUAAGUGUAGACCAAGUAUGGACACCAGCUACACUAUAACCUUACUCAAGGAUGCCUUGAAGAACUGGUACAGAAAAAUCUUUCCAAUGGGGAGAGCAAUUGUGAUGCAUCCAGGCAUUGACAUAGUGUGAAAAGAGAAGUGACCCAAGGUUAGAAUACACACACACACUCAUGGAAAAAGAAUGGAAGACCAUGGGCAAGAAGAUGUGGGAUAAAGGUAUGUGGUUGAACAUAUGAGAGUAAAGAAGUUUGAGGAUCUUUAUAUUCCACAUAAUAACCACCAGCAAAUAUUGACCAUUGAGGAGGCACUAAACAACCAAGUAGACAAAAGUGUCCAGCCACUUGUCAUUAGCCAAACUCUUUCAACAACUACUCCAAUGCUGGCAAAAUUAGCUCAUGGAUGAAGAGGCCACAGUGGCCACUUCAUAGUGGAUAUAGGAACUGUGCCUAGGCCCAAAAUCGUGAACUUUCACUUAUAACACCUGAUCAGUCUUAGCCUAUCAAUGUCCUACCUACUAGCAGCAGAAUUCUGAAACCCCCAAAAGAACCAUUUCUUCAGGAGACCUACCUGCCACUUGAUAGAAAGUUGAUUAUAUCAGGGCCCUCUGUUCCACAAUAGCAGGUUUUUUUUUUUUUAUACAGACGUGUAUUGUGAUUAUUGGUUUUCUUUUCUUGUCAACAGAAUUUUGAUCAGCACAUUAUCCAGAGACUUAGUAUUUUAUCCAUUGCCUUGUGGUCCUACAUAAAAUUGUGUCAGACCAGAUAAACUAUUUCACAGCAAAGGAGGUGUGGAAAUGGGCCCAUUACUGUGAGAGCUAUUGCUAAUAUUAAAUGCCAUGUUGUUCCAAGUUGCUGGUCUGAGAGAGCAUUGAAACGGCCUGUUGAAGGUAUAGCUGGUUUGCUAACUUGGCAGCAAUAUUCUGCAAGAAGAGUCACUAUAGUCUAGGUUGCGUUGUACACCUUUACAUGAAUAGCUAUAUGUAGUGCAUGUCUUCUAUGGAAGGAAUGUAUGAAUCCAGAACCCAAGGUGUAGAAAGAAGAAUGGUACCUCAUACCAUUAAUUUCAGAGACUGAUGAGGAAUUUGCAUAUCUUGUGUUUACAGCUCUGGGUUCUGCAUUGCUACAAGACCUAAUUACCAAAGGGGGAACAUUUUCACCAGUGGUACAAAAAUAGUACUAUUUAAUCAUUAGUUAUGACUGCUGAGUGGGCAGUUUGAGCUCUGUUUCUCUGGGAGUCAGCAGGCACAAUUAAGGUUAUUGUGUUCAGAUUGCUGUUUCACAAUAGAGACAGAGAGAAACAUACAUAAAAACAGAUAAUCUACUUGAGUGCCUCCUAGGAUCUACUUGUGUCAACCCCAAAUUCAUAUAUGGAAACCCUAAUACUCAAUGUGAGGGGAUUUGAACAGGGUGAUUUUGAACAGUAAUUACGUUAUCAAGUUGGAACCCUCAUGCGGGGAUUGGUGCACUUACAAGAACAGGCAGAAAAGAGGUUACAUCCUUUGUCUCUGUUCUCAGCCAUCUGAGAAUAUGACAAGAAGAAAGCUGUCUGUGAACUGAUAAUUGGGCCCUCACUGUACACAACAUUUACUGGCACUUUUAUUUUGGACUUCCCAGCCACCAGAACUGUGAGAAAUAGGUUUGUUGCUUAUGCUACACAACCUAAGCUACUUUGUUAUAAUGGACAGCUAUAGUAAUCUCAGCUGGACAAGAGUACAGUGAUCAUGGUUCAGGGAUUUCAGAGAUGAUUGUUUUCUUCACAUCACCAGGUAAGCUGCCAAGUUCAGCCGAGUUGGUAGCUGAGGGUGAGGGAAUUCUAGAAUGGAUAGCAGAGAAGAAAGACGAUGAGAAUCGGCUGUCUUCCUAAGGUUAACUUUCACUCCGUCCCUCUUCUGCUUUCUCUUUCAGAAAAAGAGGCCUGCAGCAAUCAUGGAGAGGCUGUCCUUCAAAUGUUUAUGGAAAAGUCAGUAGAAGAGACAUCAUGGUGAAUGAUGGUAGACAUAGAGAUACAUCAUGCAGAUACUACCUUCUCUCUUAGCUCAUUUGAUGAGCUGAGAUCUUGAUGCCCAGCUGUGGUAAUUACAGUCAGCAGGCAGUCUCCAGACAUCAGUUCCUUCAGGACUUCCCUUAGUUGCCCAAAGCUGUUUCACUCCAGGUCACAACAUUCCUUUGGAAGCCCACAACUGAUGACUGAAGGCUAGAUAUCUAAGGCCUGGCCAUUUUAGCCUGGCAUCGAACACCCUGACAGGUAGUAAGUAUUCCCUUUAGAGGUCUUCACCAGGUUGGCCAAGACUUCGUUAGGUCUGCAUUGCACUUAAACUUCUUCCCCUGUCCAAUUCUGCUUCCUAUAUCUUUCACAGACUCAUGGGUUUUUGUAACGUAUUUUUAAUCGAAUUAUUUUUAUAGAAAGGGACUUUAAAAAAAACAAAAAAAACUUUUGUUCGUUUGUGACGCUGAGUACAUACCCUAGAGGCAGCCACUAGAGUAUAUAACCUGUGCAAUCCACUUCUUGGCUAGUCACCUUACUCUAUAUUCUGCUGGCGAACACUGACUUCUGAUUCCUUCCUCAUACCAAUGACCCCUCACUGCUUCCUUAGUGUGCCAGUAACAUUCAAUAUUAAUCUCAUAGAAAUGAGAAGCUUUAUAUAACAAAAUAUAGCAAACUGAUCUUGAUUGUAACUAGUUUUGACAAUUGAUAUAUUUCUUUUGUGUACCCAGAGAGAUGCCAUUCACCUCUUUUUUGCUUCCUGAGACAACUUGCAUUACUUUCUUGGCAAACAUUUAGAACACCUGCACAUAAACCACAGUACCUAGGUAUAUCACCAGUGAGGGCUGUGGAACAGCAAAGAUGCCAGCCUGAUGGUUUCUGUGGAAGCCCUGUCCCAGUCUGCAGGUUGGAACAGCUGAGUUGACCAAACAGCAAGGAAAGAAGCCUGUCCCUUCCUACUGGGACAUCUAUCUUGUCUCAGGUAGCCUCCACCCUGAUGCUACUGGCUGGCUGGAAUUCCAAGCCAAUGGAACUUAUCUCGUGAGAUUCUGUGGAAGUAGGGCCUGCAAAGUGAUGCUGCUUGGCCCCUGGAUUCUGCCCCAUUCCAAAGGGCUGGUGUGAAAUGGCACAAUUCUGGCUCACCACAAUCUCCACCUCCCAGGUUCAUGUGAUUCUCCUGCUUCAGCUUCCUGGGUAGCUAGGAUCACAGGUGCCUGCUACCAUGCCCAGACAGGCUCUCACUCUGUUUGCCCAGGCUGGAGUGUAGUGGUGCAAUCCUGGCUCACUGCAGCCUCAACUUCCCAAGCUGAGCUAAUUCUCACAUUUCAGCCUUUCUCUUCUUUGGCUUCAUGAACUGAGUGCCAUCACCACUGAAGUCAACAGGGGCUCAGCGUGACAAGGACUGACUGGCAACCUGGGAAGUAAAGCAGCCAAUUCUCACUGUCGUCACCCUGCAAAUUCUACCUGCCUGUAUUUACUCUGCAUUCUUUUUUUUUUGCCUCUUCUACUUUUUUCUUAAAUUCCCUUUUCAUAAUUUGUAUUUGGCUCCCCAAAACAUGGAAAACAAAAAGAGAAAAGCAAUUUUUUUAAAGAAAAUAAUUCUUUCAUGGUAAAUGAUAAGAGAAUCGGAGCCAGAAAGUGCAUCUGCUGGUCCUGCUCCAAUUUAUAUCCUUGGUAGAUCAUUGACAACCCUCAGCCCAGAUGAGAAUAGACUUCUCUCCACAGUAUUGCAGGAAGCUACUACUAAUUACUUGAAUUGGCUAAAAAAAGGAAGCUUUUUUUGGCAGUAGCGUCUGAAUUGUCAGCAGGUGCAUUCUACUUCAUUUGACUAAUUUAUAGAUGAAAGCGAUGGUAACGUUUAAGAAAAGAUUGGCUAAAGCAAGUCAGGAAUAUAUUAAGUACUUCUAUCAUGUAGAUACUUUCUCCUCAAUGUUCCAAAAACUUUCUCUGGUUAAAAUUUGAAAAUAAGUAGGCAAUAAAAUAUAACCAAGAGUGAGCAUGGCAUUGAACAGAGAAUACAAAUUGGUUUAUGUAAAAUAAAAAUAAUUUUAUAAUACUGAAUGCACAUGUGUAAGGUACAUGAAUGUGCUUAGGUCAAGGAAUAGGCCAAGGUGGGUAUCCAGGCCUGCAGGACUCAGCGAGUUUGGCAUGUAAGUGCAUACCUCCACUUGUUAUAUAACCUGUUUGUGUAAGUUCAUAUUUGGCUCUAAGCCACUAUUUUCUGUAAAAGGUGUAACUGUCCUGCUGACACUAUACAGGGGCUCUUGGCUCCACUCAGCUCAGUUCAACAUGGCUUGACAUAGCAAGUGCGCUGGUGCCCAGAGAAAGAGAGAGAGUCAGAGGUGUCCAUCUUUGCAGAUGGACAGGAGGGAGCCAUGACACAGCUCAGCUUACUCAUGCCGAGAGAGAGAAAUAAGCAAGCUGUUGUCCCUAGAGGCAAGGAAGAGCUGGCCGCACAGCUUGUCUGGGGGCCACCAGACUAAGCAUCUGAGAGAGGGCAGACAGUGUGAGAAAGCUGUGGAUGAGAGCUGCUGCUGAAUUAAAUCAUUCACCUGCAUAUGGCUCCCACUGUUCCUUCUGCUCAUCCACCCACUCCCUUUGGACCUCAGCAUGGGCUGGAACUUGACCCUGAGCAUGAUAACUGGUGUAGUCAUGAACCUGACAGCAUAGUUUAACUUGGAAAUUAAUAUGGUAACUUUGUAAAAGUAGAAAGGAAUUUUGAGACUAUUAAUAGAAUUUAAACUACAAUAGUCUGAGGUAAUUUGCUCUUUUUUUAAAUUGAACUUUAGGUUCUGGGGUACAUGUGCAGAUAAUGCAGGAUUGUUGCACAGGUACACACAUAGCAAUAUGGUUUGCUGCCUCCAUCCCCCGUCAUCUACAUCUGGCAUUUCUCCCCGUGGUAUCCCUCGCUGACGUCCCCACCUCCCUGUUGUCCCUCCCUUGCCCCCACUGCCACCAAUGUAGGCAGUCUAGUUCCAAAAUCCAUACUCCUAAUUACUGUAUGAUACUGACUCAUUAUGUCAUAGGUGCUUAGUAUACACUUAUUUAGGGACUACACCUAAUUAAUACACAUUAAUUCCUGCUGAUCUGACUUAUAACUCUCUCAAAUUUAUAUUCCCCUUUAGUGGCUAAAGAUCACUAUAUUAGUUAUCUAUUGUUAUAUAACUAAUUACCCAAAUCCUAGUGACUUUAAACAACUAUAAUCAUUUAUUAUCUCUCACUAUUUCUGUGGGUUGGGAAUUUGGAACAGUCUGGUUGUGCAGCUCUUGGUUCAGGUCUCAUAUGAGAUUGCAGUCAGGUGCUGGCUCUGGGAUAGCAGUCAUCUGAAGCUUUGACUGGUCCUGAAUGGUCUGAUUCCAAGGUGGUUCAUUUCCAUGGCUGACAAUUUGGAGCUAUUAAAAACAGUGUGAGGUGUUUUCGUUCCUCUUUACGUGGGGCUGUCUAUAGGACCACUUGAGUAUCCUCUUAGCAUGGAGACUAGUUUUCUCUAGAGUAAAAAUUCAAGAGACUCAGAUGGAUGCUCCAGUGAACUUAUGUUGUUGGCUUGGAAGAUACAAAUCUUCAUUUCUAUGAUAUUCUCCUGGUCAGAGAAACCAUCCCUCAUCAAUAUUCAGGAGACUGUGUCACAGUCUAUUUGGGGUGCUAUGACAAAGUACUAUAUUGAGUGGGUGGCUUAUAAAGAACAAAAUUUUAUUUCUUACAGUUCUAGAGACUGGGAAGUCCAAGAUCAAGUUACUGCCAGAUUCAAUGUCUGGUUAAGGCCUGUUUCUUCAUUCAUAGAUGGAAUCUUCUUGCUGUGUCUUCACAUAGAAAAGGGGGCAUGGCAGUUUUCUGGGGUCUCUUUCAUAAGGGCACUAAUUUCAUUCAUAAGUGCUCUGUUUUCAUGAAAUAAUCAACUUCCAAUGGCCCCACCUCCAAGUAGCAUGAAAUUGGGGAUUAGGUUUUAAGAUAUGAAUUUGGACCUAUGAAAGAACCAUUCAAACUGUAGCACUAUACAAAGACAUGUGGCUUAUUGGGGGCCAUUUGGGAGGCUGGCUAACACAAUCAUAUACACACAUCAUGUUUCUUUCUCUGGCCCAUCUGCUCUGGUAGUAUCCUUCCUUCUUUGAGGAGAUGACUUUUAUGCAUUUUACCAUAGCCUACCCCCAAACUAAACUCCCUUUAGGGUUAAAGAAAUAUUAAGGCGACCAACCCAAGGACAAUCAGGUGUCACCCCAGGAAUUUUUAUUCCCAUGGGGAAAUAUACAAAUACAAAAUGUCAUCAGUUUAAAUGAUCAAAUUAGUUUCGCAGGAGGAUCAUCUGCAAAUUUCAGUUGCUUCCCUGAUUUUUUCAUAGCUCGGGUGGUCAGUUCUUUCUAAACUUUCUUGAUUCUUAGAUAAGUUAGAGUUUGUUGAUUUUCUUCACCAUCAGAAAGUCCUCGUUGAUAAGACUCACUUUCCGUAUGGCCCCAGCAAAGAACAAGAUACACUGUAUGUGUUAUGUUGAUAAAAAGUCAGGAAUUUUUUUUUUUUUUUUUGAGACGGAGUUUCGCUGGUUACCCAGGCUGGAGUACAAUGGCGCCAUCUCGGCUCACCGCAACCUCCGCCUCCUGGGUUCUGGCAAUUCUCCUGCCUCAGCCUCUUGAGUAGCUGGGAUUACAGGCACGCGCCACCAUGCCCAGCUAAUCUUUUGUAUCUUUAGUAGAGAUGGGGUUUCACCAUUUUGACCAGGAUGGUCUUGAUCUCUUGACCUCGUGAUCCACCCGCCUAGGCCUCCCAAAGUGCUGGUAUUACAGGCUUGAGCCACCGCGCCCGGCCAGGAAACGUUUUUUAAAAAAUCACCCAGGCAACUGGAUCAUUGAGCUCAGGAGACAAGAGGGCCCCCAGAUGGCCUUUGGAGACAUUCCUGAGACCUGUACUAGAGAGAGCUUCUGUCUGUUCUUCUGUCAGUUUCUGCCAUCAGAGUCAAUAAUAAAAGAUGACCUUCCUUACAAAUCUGGGCCUAUUACUAAUAGGAGACCUUUUCAUAGAGAAUUUGUUAAUUUAGUUAACAUUGUAAACUGAUAAUUUAAUUCUAUUUAUGUGAAAGCCAAAAUAUAUCUCAGAAUCUUAUAGACAAUUAUAUCCUAUUACUAUUCCAUUCAGUAUCCCCCCCAAAAAACCAAAUCUUUGAUACGUUUUCAACUGUCUUAUAUGCUAAAAGAUUUCUACAUAUUAACCUGUGCAAGAUUUUCUUUUAAUAAUGAUUCAAUCUUUCUUAUUUCAUUAUUAUAAACCAUGAACAUAAACUUUUAAAAUAUACUUUCUCAGUAUAUCUUAUUAGCUUUGUCUUCAAAGCUAACAGAAAUAGACACUAUGUUCCAAUCUUUUUACAAUGUGAAAAACAAGUUUAGUGGAAGAAGGGAUACAAUUAUGUGUGGGAAGGUAAACGCAAGGACAAUAGUUUCUGGCACAUUGUUAACUGAAUUGUAUGUGUGGGUGUUGCAGACUCCAUCAGCUGAGAAGCAAAUAUAAGAGUAUAAUGUAAGGUGCUUCUUAAAACAUUUUUCCACCAAGUGAAUGUGUUGAAGUCUUUUGCGAAAAUGACUAGUUGUUGCCUGUCUGAUAUUUCAGGUAAAUAUAUUAAACAUCACAUGAUAGAUCAGGAGCUAACAAGACAAAAGUCACUGGGCCAUAUUUCAUUUAAGGAUAGGAUUUCAGCAUCUCUAAGUAAAAAAAUCACAGCUGCCUCCUGCCAUUGCCUUGCAUUCUGAGUUUUGCUGUAUAUAUUAUUAAUUGUCACCUGAAACAUCUUUGCACACAUAGGUACACAUAUAAACUUCAGGUAGAGAAUAAUACCAGCUUUCUUUGGCGUCCGAUUGUGUGUUUGACCUUUUUUUUUUUUUUU